rnacentral:rRNA from 1 species
UACGAAGGGGGCUAGCGUUGCUCGGAAUCACUGGGCGUAAAGCGCACGUAGGCGGCUUUUUAAGUCAGGGGUGAAAUCCCUGGAGCUCAACUCCAGAACUGCCUUUGAUACUGAGAAGCUUGAGUCCGGGAGAGGUGAGUGGAACUGCGAGUGUAGAGGUGAAAUUCGUAGAUAUUCGCAAGAACACCAGUGGCGAAGGCGGCUCACUGGCCCGGUACUGACGCUGAGGUGCGAAAGCGUGGGGAGCAAACAGGG